ACCUAUUAGGUUAGGUGGAAUGAUUACAUGGAUUCUGCACAACUAGGUCAAGAAUGUAGAGUUUGCAAAUGAGUAUAUCAAAGAGACUCCCUCCUGUACUUAUGAAGGUAUUGAGUUGAGGUUUCACUGUUCCUCAAGUCUUUCUUCCCCCUGCCCAUGCUCCUGUUUCUUAUAUAUGACAUUAAGGAAGAAUCAUGGCAACACAUCUAAAACCUUCAAGUCUGGCCAUGGGAACACAGGAAGUAGAUAGUGUAGUACAGAUAUCAAAUGUGAAUAGAGAAAAGAAUUGUAUACUCCAUGUGGUCCUUUGCUUUAUUGAUGAUGGUAAUUUUUGAAUAACAUAAGGAUUUGGGAAUUUAUAAUUGAAGUAGGUACACCAUAUUUACACUGUUAUUCUCAGUCUAUAGAUGGGCCCACUUUGUUUCCAAAAUCAUAGCAGAGAAUGGAAUUUGAAAACAGAAUUUUUGAGUACAUAUUCAGGAAUAUUUAUAAUGUCCCCUAUGAAGGAAUGUACAAUAGGAAAGUGAAAUACAAUAUUCAUUCAACGAAAGGUGUGUAGGUAAAGUACUGGCCUUUAUAAAAUUAAGAAAACCUAGAAAAUUGAACUGUAUGUCACAGGAAUUGACCUGGGAAUAAAAAUAUUAUCCAGAAGAAUCUCCUCCACUCCAAGUUCCUAAAUAAUUUCUAUCCAUGCCAGGAACCUGACUCAUUUUCUCCAUUCAGAAGUCACUAGCUUUAGAGAGAUGGAGAACGAAAGUUUCCACUGUGUCACAGGAGACAUACCUAAAUUGGCACCCUCAAAACUGGUUAAUGUAAGGAAAGCUGUUUAGAGUCAGGCCAUGGCAGUUCUCAGUGACAAUAUCAUUAGGCUCUCCCUGAAAAAUCUCUUGUAUCCUUGAGAGCACUAGCUUCUUCUGUGAUGUAAUAAGUGUUGUCCUGACUGCAAAUGCCUCUCAGAUAUUACUUCAGUACCUAUAGGUUUUACUAAUUGGCCUCAAAUUCAGGGGAAACAGUCAUUAGGGAGGGAGAACAAAGACGAUGAAGAAAUCAGAGAUGGGGAGAACGAAGCUGGUCUUCUGUCUUGGUAUAAAAGAAGGAAGAAAUACAUCAUCCCUGAGAAAUCUCACUGAAGCCUUGGUAGGAGUGGAAUAUGAAAAAUAGUCCUGAGGAAGGAGGGACAACAAGUAUUGUAUUGUCAUGUCAUCUCAAGAAAAACUCUCAAAACUCAUCCUGGCUGACAAUGUAGAUUAGACGCAUCAGAUGAAAUGAAUUGAAAAACUCUCCUGGGAAUGAAAGUGGUAAGGAAAUCACAUUGAUGUAUCCUAAAUGCAGUGCUAAGAGCAAUAUUCAGACUAGUCUGUGGAGAUGCUGCUGUCAUCAGAGACCACAGACAAUUAGUGGAGAAUGAUUCAGCAUUAAACUGGGAAUGGAAGAUGAUGGUUGAUAUUGUUCUAGUAGAUCUCACUACAUUAAAAAGUGUUUCUUCCAGAUAACUGAAUGAUUAUUGUAAAGCAAAUCCCGGAAUGAACUUAUGAGACCCACCAUCAGCCUGUCAAAUAAUGUGCGAAAGAAGAAAUCUGUGUCUCUCCAGGGACAAAUUGUUGCUUUCAAACCAACAGUAAAGUGUCCAUUCUAUGAAUGAUACAUUGAUAUAUACACAUUAUAGAAGGAUGUAUACAGAGUUUCUUAAGGUCCAUGAAUGAGGUAUUCAGCAGUUGACCUGGAUCAGAAAUGAAGGUAAUUUUUGCCAACUCUUCAAACUUGAGCUCCUUCACUAGGAUCCCCAUGAUUGAAGAAAAGAACAAACUCAGACAACUUGUCUCAGAUUUUUAUGUAGUUAAGAUUUCCUGGUCUUGGUCCUAGGAAGGAAGGACAUCUUGCUUUCCAAUUCUUGUUUAUCCUAUAAUCCUCUCUGCUGCAUUCAUGCAAAUAGAUUACUGUGCAUUUCUUUAAUAGGUUACAAUUGCUAUUUUAAUUAUGUUGCCAAGAACUAUAGAAAAAAAGAAGGACUGUAUCAAAGCAUCAUAUGAAAAUCCGACUAAGGUAAUGUGGCCAUUGGAAAUUUGUAACUGACCUGAAACUCUUACUAGAGACAAAAUGCCAUAAAAGGUCUUCUCUCGAUAUCUGGUGUAGUAGUUGGUGUUCCCCAACAGACAGUAAAGGAUGAAUCUCUCUGUACAGAGAAAUCGGAGUAGUCACAAUGAUCACAGACUAUGGAACACAUAAUUUAACAAUGACUGACUAUUUUUAAAGUCCUAGAAUCCAUUAGUUUAUUAGUCCAAAAGGAAAGAUGUCUUAUCUGGUCAUUGACAUAUGGAUAAAUAUUCAGUAUGCAGGUUCUAAUGUCUAUGAGGAUUUGGUAUCACUGUGAGUGCAAAAAUGAAAAAGUAAAGGCUUCUUUCUUCCAUGUUUUCUACGGGGAUUCAAAUAGAAUGCAUGGUUUAGAAUACAUUGGGUUUGCCAUUCUCAAACAGACCAAUAUCUUCAACUAAACAUUCUUUUCUUGGAAGCUGCACCCUGUCAGCAUGGCUCACGUGUAUGUGAACUGCAAGAUCUAGUCUGGGAAGGCAGUCCUGUUCAUCGAUCCAACCUGCCCCUAAUACUGAAAUACCCAAGACUUCCUCAAUCAACUCCUUUGCAAACAUGGUCUUCUGGGAUUUGAAGACAUUACAUCUACUAACAACACCAAUGAAAUUCAAGAUUACUUUCAACAGCUCCCUGGAGUGAGAAUUGUUCCUUGGGUCCUUAUAUGUAGAGAAAGACUGCAUAGGCAGACACAGUGAUCUAAUCUACCUGCAACAGAAUGAAGAGAUGAUGAUGUGGCUGAAGCAGAUUGGAGCUCUGCAUUUAUUAAAGGGAUGGCAGUAAAAGCCCAUGCUGACAGCAGACAUUCAGACAUGCUGAAGCCAUGCUGAGACUUGAUGUUUGUCACAGAUGAUGUCAGUAUUUUCUUAUGACUGGGAUUUUCAACAAAUUGGCUUUCAUUCUAUUCCUCAUUCCAAAAAAUCUGUUGCUGUAGGCCUCAAACCAUGGGGCAGGGAAACUUAAGAGACAACAGAGGAUUGAUAAUCCAGUCUUCAUUCACUGACUUGUCUCUACCUCAAAGUCCAUGUUUCACAAUCCAGUGCAUUUAAAUCUCCAGGGAAUCAGUUACUGUUUCUCUACCAUGCUGGUCUGCUGAAGUCAUUUUACAGAAGUCCACUUCCAAGUAAUUAUUAAAGCAAUGAAUAUUUUGAAGUUGUUUAUGAUCUACACACAGGCUUUUUACGCCCCAAGCAUGUACCAUCCCACUUCUGCAUUUGUAGCUCUCAGCCAGUGUUCUCGACCUAUCCAUCCAGCAACCCUUAGAUUCCACACUUUGUAUGAGGAUAAUAUUUGAAAAAACAGAAGAAUAGCUGUAACAUAGUUGUUCUUCACUGAAGCCAUAUUAACACAGACGGCAGAGCAUAUGAUGCAUUCAUCUCUGUUUGUAGUGUUUAAUUCCCCGUAAAGUCCCAAACAAUUGAGAGUUGAUUCUGUCAGAGUACCAGCAAAGUCAAAUAGGAAAUGCAAAAUUUCAGAAUUCUCCUGCCAAAGAUGUUUGUGAAAGAAGUUGUUUGCAAAACACUGUCUUAAUAAAUUUAUUCCAUUCUCACUUUGAUAUUUUGCUUUGAUGUCUUGAAGUGACGUUUAAUUAUCACUGAAAUGCAGGUCCCCUCUAUAGUCUCCAGUAAGAAGAAUUCAUUCCUCAAAAGGAUGUAUCUGCAGAUGCCUGAAAAAAUAAUAGAAAGAAUAUUUCUUGAUAAAGAUCUAGGUUAAAGUUGAAACAUCCUACCACAAAGAUACAUAUAAGAAGUUCAUUUGACAUUGACCUUAUAUUAUGCAGAAAUUCUUCACAUAUUCCCUCUAUCGUUGGGGUUUAAUUAAUCUCCAAUGAAUAGUUGACAAUGAAGAGUAGCCUUUAGAAUCAUUUUACCCUUUUCAGUAAUAGUUUUAAGCAAAUGGAACACUAAAAGAUCACAAAGAAGAAAUGGUUAUAAUCAAAAGAUACAUGUGGGACAGUCUAACUCUCAUGGUCAAGAUGACUUUGCACAUGCUCCUUAUGGUCAUGGAUUGCUCUCAUAAUACUCUGCAGAAGGUUGUUCCUACUGCCUCACUUUAAGCUCCAGGAAUUCCAAGCUACCAGAGCUGUUCAAGUUCCCUUACAAUGCACUUGAAAGCCACAUAUGCUUAGGAACUUUUGAUGUGCUUUAGCUGUAUUGUCAGGUUUUUUUAAGCCUCUACCAAAUAGCAAGCUCUCCUUUUUACCCCCUUCUCAACACCUCUAAAUCUGCCCUAACUCAAUUUCUCAAUUGACAUUAGUCAUAGCUCAGCACCCCAAAUAUGCACUCAUCUUACUGUGUUUUUAACAUCCUGCCUGCUACACCAAUGGCCACUCCAUACCAGAUCUCACAUGACUGGUAACUCUUGCUCCACCCUAAAUCCUUUCUCCACCCUUGUGUCUACUAGCCUGUUGGUAGAAAUCCACACAACUGAUUAGCCAAGAGCAUCUUUAUUGAACUAUACAGAAUCAAUUUGGGAACAGGACCUUCAGUGUUCGCAGGAUGAUUCCCGAUCUAAGAAUCAAAACGAUAGCAAACAAGACUCAAUCCAUGUCUCUGGUUUUGGGAGGGAGAUAGAGCACUUAGAUUCAGAGUUGAAAUUUAAAUAAUUAUAAUAUAUAUGUAGUAUUAAUUAUGCCAGGAUAAAAGGAUCCAAAAAGUGGAAAUGGGCAACAUUAAAGGCAAGAGAAAAAUCCCUAGUACAGCAAACAAUGUGGACCUGUUAGAAAGACUGGUCUCUUUCCAGCCAUCUGAAUUUGUACUUGAAAUUCUUCUAACCACUCUUGAUCUCUGCAUGUAGAAAAGAACAAAAAGAAAAAGAAAACAAAAUAAAACAAAAAAUCACCAAAAUGAAACCAAAAGCAAAAGCAAUAGCUAAUCAACCCAAUCCUAAAAGAAGAGGACUGAGUGAAGAUUGCUUGAGGUCCUCAUUUUUAACUACAACUACAAGUCACCAAUAGCUUUCAAUGCAAAAGUUUGUCAUUAUUUUAUUUGAAACUUCUCUGUGGGUCAAAGAAACAAGGUUUAUAAGCUGCAACAACAGGAAAGAGAAAAAAAUCAUACUGUAGAGCUCAACACUGAUAUUACUAUGGUGACUGUGGGCAAUGCAGAGAAUAUUGGUGUUUGACAAUGGGUUUUGUGGUUUUCUAUAUGCUGGCAAUAUCUAUGACUCUGAAAUGAAUUAGAGUCAUCACCAAAUCAUCACUAAAUGAACUGCUCCUUUCUUUGGAGCACAAGAUCUGGCAAACUGUUGACUGACUAUGAUUUUUAACUUGGAUCUAGCCUCUGUGGUAAAGCUAAGGCUUCUGAUGGAAAAUCCUCCACCAAAAUACUGGACUAUCAAUUGUGCUGCCAGCCAAAAACCAAGUCCUGACUCUACCCUGCAAUCCAGAAGAGGUUUCAAAGUGUCAAACAUAACAAUAUUUUAAUUGUGGCUUUGUCUUUUUUUCACUUUUUAUUUUAAAUAAAGUGUGAUUUCUGGCAUAAUUCCUGCUAAUUUCUUCCUCACAUAGAACUUCACUUUUGACCUCAAAUUCCAUUCAUGAAGGGGUACUCUUAUCUUUCGUUGGCUAAGUUUUCUAUUUUGCUUUUAUGGCUUGCUGUGAUUGCUUAUUGUGACUGUCUAAAUGAUGCAUUAUUGAGCAACUGACUCCAUAAGAAUGGCUUGCGGGCAUCAGUAUUUUGCAUUUUCUUGAUGGUUAGUUUAUGUAAGGUGACUUAGCCCACUGUGGAUGGUAACAGCACUAGUAAGCUGAGGAGGUUACAGAGAAAAGGUAGCUGAGCAGAUUAGUAAGCAGAGUUCCUCUUUAUUUUCAUGCUGCUGCCUUGUGUUCUUUUCUUGGAUUCCAUUGAUUAUGAACUGGAACUUGUGAGGUGAAUUAAACCUUCAAUUUCCCACACUGGCAUUUUUAUGUUUACUAUAACAUAGUCAUACUAACUGGAACAUUUGGCACUUUCUUGAGAUCUGAUCCGAUAGUCCAUCCUCCUGCUGGCAUGUAACCUACCCUUUUAAAUUAAUAAAUAAAUCCAAGUCACUCCAAACUUUUGACAUAUUCACUCUGCCAACAAAAUCACACUGUGUAUGUAACUUACUUUUUUAAUCUCAUAUUUUUCCUCCCACAUUUUUUCUCUUUAAAAUUAUCUCCCUAAACAUGUUAGCACUUUGUCGUUUUAAGUUAUCUUAUGUCCCAUAGAAAUAGUAUAGUCAAAUUUUUGAUUUUCAUAAAAGUGGGUGAUUUGUUGUAGUAAAAUAUUCUAAUCAAUAUUUAUUGCAUUAACUUUAUUAAUUAAUCAAAAAUUGACAUUAUUAUACUAUCUAGUUAUCCUUAAAACUAUAAAAGAUUUGAUUCAUUCAAGGCUUUAAGGUCCUUCAGAACAUCAGGUGGAACGUUCUUAUGUAUAAUCUGGAUGUAUCAUGGUUACUUCAUAUGUCUUCUAACUCACAGUGUUCUUUCUAACAAUGCGAAUUUAGGGUAUUUGAUAUAUAUUUUAAGAGUGUUUAAGUGGAAUAUUUCCCUGAUGACUCGCCCAUAGUUUGAAAUUGGAAAACAAAAAGAUAACGUGUUUUGAGUGUUCACUUUGAAUUCUACUAUUUCAUGAAUGCAUUUUCAGCUUUAAGAAACUUAAUCUUUUAAAGAAAAAUUGUCUCUAUUCAGGAUCACGUCUAGCUAAUUCAUAGUGGUCUUUGCAUUUUAAAUACUUUCGUCCACAAUAUUUCGUUUUAUAUUUUCAGAGUAUUGUGAGGGGAAUUUCACCCAUAUUUCCUCACAGUAUGGUUUGGAUUGGCAUAAAGGAGGCUAAGGAAUGUUGUGUGUUCAUAUGAUAUUCUGCUAUUAUGACUGUAUUUUUCAGUCUUAAGAGACUGACAUAUUUUUAGAGUUUUUAAAAUGGUAUCAUGACAUCUGCAAAUGAGAACACUUUCAUUUCUUCAUUUUUCAUUUGUAUUCCCUGGAUCUUCUUCGGUUGUCAUAUUGCUCUAGCUAAAAUUACACAUACUGUAAUACAUAGUUGUGAAACCAGUGUAUAUUCUUGUCUUCUUCCUGCUUGUAGUGGAACUGCUUUGAAUUUUUCUCUCUUUAGCACGAUGCUUGUGCUGGGCUUCUUGUACCUUGCCUUUAUUAUGUUGAACUAUAUCCUCCAUAUCUACAGCUUCCCCAGGACGAAUCAAACUUUUAUGUUGGGAUUUGAAGAAAGCUUAUCUGGUAGAAGAUUAUUUUUAAUGUUGACUUGAAUCUGUUCACAAGUAUUUUAUUGAGAAUAUGUGUGUAUAUGUGUAAAUUAGUGUGUAAUUCUCUCUCUUCCUCUCUUUGUGUCAGUCGUUUGUAACUCUUUCUCCCUCUCUCAUUACCUUCCCUUUUGCCUCAUUGUCCCCAUGUCUCAUUCUCUCUCCUUAUUUUGUCUGUCAUUGUUAGAUAAUACCAGAUUCAAAAUACAAUUUUAAUGUAUUCAAUCCUUUUGUCUACUUUAUUGAAUAGUCUUAGACACUUUAAAUGCUAUUUAAAUGUAUAUUCAUUUCUUUUCAACUGAAUACAUGUGGUCCUAUGAUAUUUCAGGUGGGAGAAAUUAAAAACCUGAUUCUUUGUAAUUGUUUAGUAUAGAGCUUUUUAAAUUAUGCAAAAUGAGCUGAUUUAAUAUUGGUAUAUAAAUACAUCUAGUAUUUACUGUCACUUCCAACCCCGACCAGCAGGAAAGGAGAGACACCACACAUUCUUCUCAAAGCAGUUUUUUCAGGAACCCUUUUGUCUGCAAGCAGGAACAAUGCCUCCAUCCAGCCCCCGAGCCCACUCCCUUAUAUCCUCCCUCAACCACCUCAACCGUCCAUUCUGCGUGACCUCCAUUCCUAGGUCCACGUCACAUGGUCUGAUAUAUCGUCAUGGUGCGCCUGCGCAGCUCUCACGAUGGGGAAUGGCUUAAUUUCAGGUGCUAUUAAUGAGACGCGGCAGCAGUCCCGGGCUCCAUUUUGGGAUUGCCGCUACACCCGCUCCCCACAGUAAAUCACGAAUGCUUUAAAAAAAUUCUAGAUUUUGGACUGUAAAUAUAAAUAAUCUGUGUUUUCUCCAUGUUUCCGAUUUUCUCUUUCAUUUUAUUAAUUCAAACCUUUCAUUACGUAACAUGGCCAGAGGUUAUGACGAUCCUGUUAAUACUUUCCAAGAGUGACCCCUUCCUUUCAUUCAUUAUAUUGUCUACACUUGUCUACAUUUUAUUGAUUUCAGCCAUGAUGAGUUGGAUAUACAUGCUAUACCCCUUCCCCAAGGCUAAAAAGCCAUCCUGAAACAAGAUGCAAAGAGACUAUAGGUCCCCAAAAUUGUGGGUGGGAUCAGACAUAAAGCGUCUUCUUGAUACAAGAGGUGCUGCCCUCAUGUCACAUAGCAGCUGUGGUUUCCUGCAAAGCUUCAAGCCAGUCAACAGUCAAGAAUGCAGUGAAAAGGCCUAAAAACUGCUGUACAUAAAAAAUUAUUUGUAAGGGUUUAUAAUAGAGUUAUUAAACAGUACUUUAAUGUAGAAGAUAUACAAAUUUAGGAUUCAAAGAAAUAGAGUGAGUGGGUAAAAUAAAUGGAAAGAUUAUCAUCAAAAUUCAUUGGCGGAAAUUCUCAAAGAAUAAAAUAUAUGAACUCUAUUCCUCAAUGUUAUGUACAUAGAAAAUAUUUUAUUAUAUAGGGAUACUUCAUGAAGCGACCUUAUGAUUUCGCUUGGUUAAAACAGAUCUGCCAAUUCUGUGAGUUGAAUAUGUGCAUUAUGUAAUUUGAUCUUAAUAAGUUUAAAGUGGCUAUUUUCAAAAAUAGUAAGCAUUAUUUCCAUGUACAUGUUCAAAAACGGGCUUCUAUAAAUAAUAAUAGAAAAAACUAAAACACUAUAUAUCAAGAAAACAUAAUUAAAUUUGGCUACAUGUCUAAGCAAAAUAUUCAAAAGUGAAGAAACUCAAGUGACUAAGAAUCGAAAGUGAAAUAUUUAUCAUCCUUAUACAAUACAGAAAUGCAAAUCAAAAUUAUUCUGAGAUUUUUUUCCUCCCUUUCAGAAAUUUUAGUUUUAUAACACAUGAGUCAACUUAUGUUUGCUGUGUUAUGGGGAGAGGGGAACAUUGAUAUUCUUCUGGUGGGAAUGCAAACUUCAACAGCAACUUUGGAAAUCAGUAUGAUGUUUCUUCAGGAACAUGGAAAUGUAUGCACCUAAAGAUAUAACGCGAGGAAAAUAUAUCCAAAUGUUGAUUCAUGCUAGUAUAGAGACUCUUGAAUAUUUAGAAAUAUUUACGUUGUUUUUUAACAAAUGAAUGCAUAAAGAAAAUGUGGUGCUUUUACAGAUUGGAAAAGGAAAGCAUGUAAUUUUCAGGAUAAUGAAUGGAUCAUGUGAAAGUCAUCAUAGAUGAGAUAAUCCGGACCUAAGAGAAAAAUGGGUUAUAUUUUCACUUUUAUCUGAAUAUUAAUUCUCCACACUGUAUCAGUUUGAUUAGUUUAGUGUAAAAGUUAAGGGAUGUGGUCCAGACUAUCCUCACUUUGUGAUGUACAAAUGUACUUAUGGAUUGCAGAGGAACACUGUCAGGUACAGGAAUGUCAAAUGUGAAAAGAGUGGGAAGAGUAUGACAAUGGAGGGAAUGCAGAGAUGUACAGUUAAAUUGGGAGACGUUUGAGGCAUUGAAUGAAAACCAUAUGCAACAGAAAUAAAAACUAAUUUUUUAUUUAAUUAUGUUUUUUGUCAAACUAAAGAUUUAAAGCUAUAAGGACAGAAGAUAAAACAUUGAUUGGGUGUUUCUAUGUGAAAUUUCAAUAAUAAGAAACUCACAGUACUUAUGGAUUUCAACUAUCAAUAAAGCUAUAGUACAGAUAAUGCAAUAUACAAUCCUUAAGGAGACAGAUGGGAAUAUCUCUGCUGUUAAAAAAUAUUAAUUAUAUACAUUAUAUAUGUAAAAUAAUCUAUUUAUUUGCUUACAUUUCAAAUGUCAUUUCCCAAACUGGUCUUUCUUUCUUGAAUCCCCUAAGGUAUUCUGUUCCUCAUUUUUCUAAUAUGUUGCUCCCCCAUCUACAUGCGCACUUCCGCUUUAGUCCUCUAACAUCCCCCUUCUCUGGGAUAUGAAGUCUCCACAGGACCAAUUGCCUCCCUUCACACAUAUGGCAGAUGAGGCAGUUGUCUUCACCAUAUACUCUGCUAUUUGUGUAGCACAAGUCUUCGACUGGGCAAAGCAUACUCUAGGAUGUGGAAAAUUUCCUGAGGCUCUGAAGGUUAUAUUUAGUUGAUACUGUUAUUCUUCAAAUUGGGUUGCAAUCCCCUCCAGAUACUUAAGGCAUUCCCCUAACUCUUCUUUUGUGGCUGUCAGGUGCUCUCAAAUGCUUAGGUGUUUCUGCAUCUGUCACAGGCAGGUGAUGGCAGAGCCCCUCAGAGGGCAAACAUAUUAGGGUCUUAUCUGUAAGCACAUUUGAAAUCAGGAAUAGGGCCAGGAUUUAGAGUCUGUGGAAGAAAUGUUUCUUAUGGUGGUGUGUUUCUGAAGGGCCUUUCCUUCAGUUUUUGCUCUGUUUUUGUAUUUGUCUUUUUUUAGACCUUGGAUGUAUAUAGGAUAAAGAUUUUGAAUUGUGUGGGAAGCACCAUUCCUUCACUGGUGGGCACGUCUAGCUACAGGAGGCAGUCUCUAAUGGUUCUAUCUCUUUGCUGCUUGGUAUUUCAACUACCAUCAUCCCAUUAGGUUUAUCAGAACCUCUUGCAUCCCUGGCACCUGGGACUUUCCUGGGGAAACCCAAGUUCACCACCAACCACUGAUGUUUAUUGUCAUUUAUUACACUUUUCCUCUGGAAUUCUCUCCUGUCUCUUUUCAUUGUUGCAACUCCCCCCACUUUGUCCAUCAUUCUCUACCUCUAAAUAAGUCCCUCCGUCCCUCUGCCUUCCAUGAUUAUUUUGUUCUCCCUUCUAAGUUGUUUGCAAGGAUUCGCAAUCUGGCCUCCUAACAUGUUACCUUUCAUGUGAUAAAUGCUCUCAAUAAUGGGAGUUCUGAGCUUUAUGGCUAACAUCCAUUUGUCACUAAGUUCAUCCCAUGUUAUGUCCUUUUUGAUCUCUGUUACUUCACUAAUUUCCAGCACCAUCCCUUUGCCUACAAAGUUCUUGGUGUCCUCAUUUUUAAUACCUUAGUAGUGUUCCUUUGUUUAAAUAUAGCACACUUUCUCUAUUUAUUCCUCAGUGGAGUUGAGGUAAAUCACGCUUGCACCCAGCAUUCGACUAUUGUAAGUAAGGCUGUUGUGAACCUGUUCAACCUCAUGUCCUUUUUGUAUGUGGAUCAAGGUUGAGUAUAUGUGUUGAAGUGAGUGGUAAAGCUGGGUCUUCAGGUAAAGCUAUUUGCAAUUUUCUCUGAACGUCCAUAUUGCUAUCCAAAGUGGUUCUACAGGUACUAAUAACACCAGCAGUGAGGGAGUGUUCCAUUUGUCUACAUCCUAGCUUACUCUGCUACUGCAUCAGUUUUUUAUCUUAGUCAUUGAGAUUGGUGUAAUGUAGAAUCUCUGGUUCAUUUUGAUUUGCCUUUUUCAGAUAAGUAUGGAUGCUGAACAUUUCUUGAUGUUUUUCUCAGCUAUUGAGGUACCUCAGUUGAGAAUUCUUGGUUUAGCACUCUAACCAAUUUUAAAAGUUUGGAUAUUUAUUUGUCUGGGACAUUAAGUAAGGGGAUAUCAAUGUGGAGGGGACAAUCACUAUAAAAGGUGAGGGGUAGAGGUUAGCGGUGAUGGACAGGAAAGUAGACAAUAUCAUCUGUGAUCUUUAAUCAGUGUAAAUAUGCAUGUAUGUAUGUAUGUAUGUAUGUAUGAAUGUAUGUAUGUAUGUAUGUAUCUAUCUAUCUAUCACUCUGAUCUAUCACAUAUUGCAGUACUUUGAUAUAUUUUCUCCCUCACAUAGGUCUAGUAUUAUCUUCUAAUUAUAUCACAUGCUGGAAAAGCUAAUUAGUUAUGUUUCAUGCUAAAAGGUAUACAGUCACAUAACUAAAGUAAAUAUUUAUGUUUUUAUGAAAUAGUUGAGAAAUUUGAUAGCAUAAAAAUUAAUUAUCUUUAUUGAAUCUGUUUUCUGAACUGAAAUUUAACCUGAAUCAAAAUUUAUAAAGCAGCUUUUAAAAUUCUUGAGUACUAAUGUAUACAUCAGAAUUGUUUCAUAAAAUUAGAAAAUAGAGUGCAUUUGUAUGUUACAUAUAUACACGUACAGACACACAUAUAUAUAUAUGUACACACAUAUAUAAACAUAUAUAUACACACACACACACACACACACAUAUAUACAUGUGGCCACAUACACAUAUAUACAAAUAUAUACAUAUAUACAUAUACAAAUAUAAAUAUAUGUACAAUAUAUAAACAUAUGUCCUUAUGUACUCAUACACAUAUAGACAUACACAUACAUACAUACAUACAUGCAUACAUACAUACAUACAUGCUUUUAAAAAGCAAAAUCCUUGCUUUAAAAGAAUUUCCCUAGGCAUGAUGUAUAUGGUUUAGCCAAAUAAGAGAAAAAUGAUGUUAUUGCUAAAUGGCUCUGUCUUAGUACUCAUUUCUGCUUGUUUAACAUGAUGAUGGUUCUACCAAUCCGACUUCUAUGUACUUGGGGAUUGAAAUGAUGUCCUUUACUUCUCUAACUCACUCAUACACUUUCUCCAAAAAUAAGUGAUUCCUUAUCCCUACAACUAGAUGCCAUGUGCCUUUAGCCAAACAUAAUAGGAAUAAUAAAAUAGGAGCUUCACAUCUUGCAAACAUUAGUUUAUAAACUUGCUUGAAAUCAUAGUUUUGAUAAUUAUCAUUUUGAUCAAAGGCACCAUCAGGCUUACACAUUCAAAAACACCUUGUUUUCACCUUUUUUUAACUAACUUUAUUUUAUUACAUACAAGAGUAAGAAAAAGUAACUGCUAUUGAGGUGGUUUUAAGAGUUUGCAGUACCAUUAAAGCUCACAGGUUUUUAAACUUCUUAUUUUGGAAACAUGGUCAAAGCAUCUCCUCUGAUCACAUAUUGGAUUACCCAUUUCACCAUUAGCGGCAAUAGCUCUAAAGGAUUGGAAUAGUCUCUAUCCCUCUGAGGAGAAAAUGUUGUACAGGAUUACUCAGCAACAGUAAUAUAUUUGUAGCAGCAAACGUUUCAAACACCUUAUAUAUUUCCAAGGGAAAUCUGGCAAUACAGACUAUGACAAACAAAUAAAGCAGCAGGAACAAUGUUUUGCAUCUUGAGUCUCUGUUGAUCUUCAAUUCCCUGAGAGAACCACAACAUAGAAUGUCUCUCUGUCCAGGUGACUGACAGAAGCCUGGCUGUUAUACUAGAUUGUGCCACUGCUGCUCUUUCCUGUUUGUUAUGACAAGUCUACAGACCAGAACUACUAGUGUAUUCAUGAAAUGUUUGCUAAUGGAACAAGCUGCCUAUUCCAACUUGAGAACUGAAAUUCUGGUUUCCAGAGAACACAGAUGGGAGUUGCUCCAAUGAACCUUUCUAAAGAGGGACACCACCCCCACUCCACAAUGCCCCCAUCCUUUCUUUUACCGCUGGUGCCUGGAGGGCUAGAGGGAGGUUAAAGAUUUUAAGAGUCAUCAACAAAUAGUGAUAUUUGGAAAAAAUAAAGUUUUAGUUUGUAGAGUUAUCAGCUUUAGGCUCUCCUUGGGGUGUAAUAUCACUCAGGCAUUUGACAUAUGCUGCAUGGAAGGAGCCUGAGGAUGCCAAGUUAAUAGCAAAAAAGACAGGUAUUUUCUGGUCCUGCAUAUAUCAGUGUAUAUAAAGUAUUUAUCAACAGUGGUAAGAAGCAGGAGAUUUGGGGUCUGGGAGGAGAGAGAAGGAAGAUGGUUACUAUGUGUAAAAUGCAUGGCAUCUCAGCUCCAUAAAUUCAAAAAGAUCUGGGUCAGAGAGGGUGUGACAGGCACACACCAGAGAUGCUGAGUACUGUACAAAAAUGAUAGCGUGCUAAGUUUUGUGCUCUAUAUAUAUUGAUACAAAACCAAACCAAAGAAAACAAAAAACAAAUAAAGAACCAUGUGUGUGUGUAAAGAUCUGCUGGAAGAAAUUUGUCUGAGGCUCUCAAUAUUCAACACUAAAUAAAUAAUCUCAAAUAAAUGAUGACCCACUCACUCAUGGAGAUGGCCACCAAGUAAUACUGGCAAUAGUAUUUUGAAACAGCAUUGAACCCCACGGCAAGUGUUCAUUACACAACAUUUGGAAAAUAUUUGCAUGUUUUUUUUUAGUGGGAACCAAGCUCUGGUUACAUGUGUUCAUGCAUUUGUCUGAACAUUCAGCUUACUGAGGUCCAGGAUCACUGACCAUUGUUUUCCCUACUGCAAGGACAGCACUGACAGCAGUGAAUCAUAAUAAGCUUUUGUCCAGUGAAUGAAGAAGGAAGUGAGGGAUUAAAUACCAAUCAAAGAGUACACAUGGAGGUAUCCAUGGCUUCAGCCUCAUAUAUAGAAGAGCAUGGCAUUUUCUGGAAUGAAUAGGAUGAAAGGACUUGGUCCUAUGAAGUCUGGUUUCUCUAGUGUAGGGAAUGCCAGAGUGUUGAGGUGUGAGUAGGCAGGCAGUAAUCGUACAAAACUCACAGAAACAUGGAAAGGGUCGAUGGGAGAGAGGGGAAACAGGAAAGGGUAUAACAUUUGAAAUGUAAAUACAAACAAUUUCCAAUAAGAAAAGAAGGAAAUGAGUGAGAAAGGAGCAGGAGGCUUACCUCAAAGAAAUGAGAGAGCUUCUAGAUGCUGGUUUAACUUAAAAGAUUCAAGAAUCUUUGUUAUAUAUGAAAGGCAAGGGUCAGCAGACUGUAGUAUUUCAUGUUUUUAAAGAAAUGCAAUUGAAAUAAUAGUUCCAUUUUCUUAUAUGAACACACAGAAUCAUUGGAAAGAAAAAUAGACAGCUGUUUUUAUUAGAUUUAUUGGUUGAAGAAUCAUUGGCAUAUUUUUCAACAUAGCUUGAUAUACUCUCAAAAAGGUUUUUAUGGGAUAAGACAGCAAUAGAGAGUAUUGGGUCAGUGUUGGGAUACAGGUAUCUUCCAUGUAUUUUCAGACACAUACAAACAUCCUUUUAAACUGUGAAAAUAUAAAGUUAUUAAUUGAUUGAAUGCAAUAUUAUGAAUAUAAUUCUUUAUAUGAAGCAGUACUAUCUGUGUGUAUGACUUUCACACUUAGUAUAAAAUUAGGAAAGGAAUUCAUUUAAAAAUUGUUAAACGUGCUGUGGUAUAGUGGAGGGAUGGAAUCCAGGCUCUCCACUCUCUAAUCAUAAAGCAAACAAGAAUGUAAAGAGACAAGUGCCUCUAAGAAAAGACUCACUAUAAAACUUAAAAUAACCUUAUACACUAAAAGAAUAAUAUAAAUAUUUUAGAUAUUCUAAUAGGAUAUAAGGAUUAUCAUUUUAGAACGGGUUCAUAUUUCCAUAAAAUAUAUUUUACUUAAAAUUUAAAGCUCAUACGUGUGCAGUUUUGUUGGUCCGUACUGUUUGCCAGCUAGCAUGCAUUGAUCUUCUUCAUUAUUUACCCCUUUAAUUCUAAUUGACUGGUUUUUAUUGCAACCUUCUUAGUUGCCAACAUUUUUGUCUGUUCUGUGAUAACGACAACCAUUUUUGUGCGGCUGAAUCUGUCAAACAUGUAGAGCCAGAAUAAAUCUGAUGUAUCAUGGUGAAUGGAAUUGCGAAAAUAGCUAAAAUUUACAGGAUAUAUUUUGAUAUUAAGUACAGGCAUAAAGGAAACUCUGUAGUACAUUUAUUUUUCCUAAUUUGUUUCUAAAUAUUUUGAGAUAAAAAUGUAAAAAUAUGUUAUUUGAGAAAUGAGAAUAUCCUAUUGCUAAAGCGCCAGAAAAUAUAAGAUACUUAUUUUGAAUUGCAAUGGAAUGCAAAAUCAAAUAUAACAAGAAUAAUUUGAUGGGAUGGCUAUUGUGUAUGCAAAAUUUCUAUGUCAAAGAAUUAUAUCCUUACAUUAUUACUCCUUGGUACAUUAAUAAGCAAAAUGACCAAACUACAGUUUAUUUCCUAUAGGACAGUUAAAAAAAUAAAACAAAACUUUCCUUUUAAGUUCUUUUAAAACUAAUAUUGCAUUUAAUAAAUACAUCCUUCAGUAAGAGUAGAAUGACUCAUAGUGCUAAGUGCCUGCAGAACGAAAGAGGAAAGAGCAUAUGUCACCUGCUUGACAACACACCUAAAACUCUAGAACAAAAAGAACCAAAUACAACCAGGAGGAGUAGAAGGCAGGAAAUAAUAAAAGUCAGAGCUGAAAUCAACCAAAUAGAAACAAAAAGGACCAUAGAAAGAAUCAAAAGAACAAAAAGUUGAUUCUUUGAGAAAAUCAACAACAUAGAUAAACCCUUAGCCAGACGAAUGAGAGGACACAGAGUGUGUGUCCAAAUUAAUAAAAUCAGAAAUGAAAAGGGAGACAUAACUACAGAUUCAGAGGAAAUUCAAAAAAUCAUAAGAUCUUUCUAUAAAAGUCUAUAUUCAACAAAACUUGAAAAUCUGCAGGAAAUGGACAAUUUACUAGACAGAUAUAGGUAACGAAGGUAAAUCAGGAACAGAUAAACUAGUUAAACAACCCCAUAACUACUAUGGAAAUAGAAGCAGUCAUUAAAGGUCUUCCAACCAAAAAGAACCCAGGUCCAGACGGGUUUAGUGCAGAAUUCUAUUAGACCUUCAUAGAAGACUCAUAUCACUAUUAUCCAAACUAUUCCACAAAAUUGAAAAAGAUGGAGCACUACCGAAUUCUUUCUAUGAAGCCACAAUUACUCUCAUACCUAAACCACACAAGGACCCAACAAAGAAAGAGAACUUCAGACCAAAUUCCCUUAUGAAUAUCGACGCAAAAAUACUCAAUAAAAUACUGGCAAACGGAAUCCAAGAGCACAUAAAAACAAUCAUCCACCAUGAUCAAGUAGGCUUCAUCCCAGGCAUGCAGGGAUGGUUUAAUAUACGGAAAACCAUCGACGUGAUCAUUAUAUAAAGAAACUGAAAGAACAGAACCACAUGAUCAUUUCAUUAGGUGCUGAGAACGCAUUUGACACAAUUCAACACCCCUUCAUGAUAAAAGUCCUGGAAAGAAUAGGAAUUCAAGGCCCAUACCUAAACAUGGUAAAAGUCAUAUACAGCAAACCAGUUGCUAAAAAUUAAACUAAAUGGAAAAAACUUGAAGCAAUCCCACUAAAAUCAGGGACUAGACAAGGCUGCCCACUCUCUCCCUACUUAUUCAAUAUAGUUCUCAAAGUUCUAUCCAGAGCAAUCAGACAACAAAAGGAGGUCAAGGGGAUACAGUUUGGAAAAAAGAAGUCAAAAUAUAACUAUUUGCAGAAGAUAUGAUAGUAUAUUUAAGUGAUCCCAAAAUUUCCACCAGAGAACUACUAAAGCUGAUAGACAACUUCAGCAAAGUGGCUGGGUAUGAAAUUUACUCAAAUAAAUCAGUAGCCUUCCUCUACACAAAAGAGAAAAAAGCUGAGAAAGAAAUUAGGGAAACGACACCCUUCAUAAUAGACCCAAAUAAUAUAAGGUACCUCGGUGUGACUUUAACCAAGCAAGUAAAAGAUCUGUACAAUAAGAACUUCAAGACUCUGAAGAAAGAAAUUGAAGAAGACCUCAGAAGAUGGAAAGAUCUUCCAUGCUCAUGGAUUGGCAGGAUUAAUAUAGUAAAAAUGGCCAUUCUACCAAAAGCAAUCUACAGAUUCAAUGCAAUCCCCAUCAAAAUUCCAAUCCAAUUCUUCAAAGAGUUAGACAGAACAAUUUGCAAAUUCAUCUGGAAUAACAAAAAAACCCAGGAUAGCUAAAACUAUUCUCAACAAUAAAAGGACUUCAGGGGGAAUCACGAUCCCUGAACUCAAGCAGUAUUACAGAGUAAUAGUGAUAAAAACUGCAUGGUAUUGGUACAGAGACAGAAAAAUAGACCAAUGGAACAGAAUUGAUGACCCAGAAAUGAACCUACACACCUCUGGGCACUUGAUUUUUGAAAAAUGAGACAAAACCAUCAAAUGCAAAAAAGAUAGCAUUUUCAGCAAAUGGUGCUGGUUCACCUGGAGGUCAACAUGUAGAAGAAUGCAUAUCUAUCCAUGUUUAUCACCCUGGACAAAGGAUAACUCCAAGUGGAUCAAGGACCUCCACUUCAAACCAGAUACACUCAAACUAAAAGAAAAAAAAUAGGGAAGCAUCUGGAACACAUGGGCACUGGAAAAAAAUUCCUGGACAAAACACCAGUGGCUUAUGCUCUAAGAUCAAGAAUCGACAAAUGGGAUCUCAUAAAACUGCAAAGCUUCUGUAAGGCAAAGGACACUGUGGUUAGGACAAAUCGGCAACCAACAGAUUGGGAAAAGAUCUUUACCAAUCCUACAACAGAUAGAGGCCUUAUAUCCAAAAUAUACAAAGAACUCAUGAAGUUAGACGGCAGGGAGACAAAUAACCCUAUUAAAACAUGGGGUUCAGAGCAAAACAAAGAAUUCACAGCUGAGGAAUGCCGAAUGGCUGAGAAACACCUAAAGAAAUGUUCAACAUCUUUAGUUAUAAGGGUAAUCCAAAUCAAAACAACCCUGAGAUUUCACCUCACACCAGUGAGAAUGGCUAAGAUCAAAAACUCAGGUGACAGCAGAUGCUGGCGAGGAUGUGGAGAAAGAGGAACACUCCUCCAUUGUUGGUGGGAUUGCAAACUGCUACAACCAUUCUCGAAAUCAGUCUGGAGGAUCCUCAGAAAAUUGGAUAUUGAACUGCCUGAGGAUCCAGCUAUACCUCUCUUGGGCAUAUACCCAAAAGAUGCCCCAACAUAUAAAAAAGACACGUGCUCCACUAUGUUCAUUGCAGCCUUAUUUAUAAUAGCCAGAAGCUGGAAAGAACCCAGAUGACCUUCAACAGAGGAAUGGAUACAGAAAAUGUGGUACAUCUACACAAUGGAAUAUUACUCAGCUAUCAAAAACGACUUUAUGAAAUUCGUAGGCAAAUGGCUGGAACUGGAAAAUAUCAUCCUGAGUGAGCUAACACAAUCACAGAAAGACAUACAUGGUAUGCACUCACUGAUAAGUGGCUAUUAGCCCAAAUGCUUGAAUUACCCUAAAUGCCUAGAACAAAUGAAACUCAAGACAGAUGAACAAAAUGUGAAUGGUUCACUCCUUCUUUAAAAGGGGAACUAGAAUACACUUGGCAGGGAAGAGAGAGGCAAAGAUUAAAAGAGAGACUGAAGGAACACCCAUUCAGAGUCUGCCCCCAUGUGGCCCAUGCAUAUAUAGCCAUCCAAUUAGACAAGAUGGGUGAAGCAAAGAAGUGCAGACCGACAGGAGCCGGAUGUAGAUCGCUCCUGAGAGACACAGCCAGAAUACAGCAAAUACAGAGGCGAAUGCCAGCAGCAAACCACUGAACUGAGAACAGGACCCCCGUUUAAGGAAUCAGAGAAAGAAGUGGAAGAGCUUGAAGGGGCUCGAGACCCCAUAUGUACAACAAUGCCAAGCAACCAGAGCUUCCAGGGACUAAGCCACUACCUAAAGAUUAUACAUGGACUGACCCUGGACUCUGACCUCAUAGGUAGCAAUGAAUAUCCUAGUAAGAGCACCAGUGGAAGGGUAAGUUCUGGGUCCUGCUAAGA